GAAUUACCAACUCAACCAUAGUCCUUAAAUUUUUAAAAAAUUACAAAGAAAUCAUAAAUUCUCAAUCGCUACCACUUUCACAACCUAUCAAGCUGCCACCUAUAGAUCCACAUAGCACCACCUUUCUGCCACCAUGCCCAACGGACUCCACCACCAUCCUCUUACACAGGAAUUUGAAAGAUUGGAGUACUAAGGACCCACCAAUUUUGGUUCUCUCAUCGUGAAUCGCACCCGUAAGAGUUUUGGACCAAAAAUUGAAACGGUUGAGGGGAUAAUUUGUUCAAUUAAAUUCAUAUACAUUGUCGCUUGGGUUUGUUGAUUUUUCGAUUGAUGUCAAUUUCGGAAAUUAGUGUUGCGGGAUGCAUGAAUUGAAGGAGAAGAUUUUGGCAAAAUACGUCGCGCACUGUCGAAUGUUCUAGAAUUACAACAAAAUGAUUUGAGGUAGUUUUGAAUGAUGUGAGGCCAAGUAUAGAUUCGUCGAGGCGAGGUGUAACCAUCGGUGGUAGUGUGUGACCGUGGGUGGCGCCAAAAGUGAGAUUGUCAUGAAGGGUUGUAUACGACAAUUUGGUAUUUUGGGCUAUAAAUGUGGUUGUUUUGGAUAGAUUGGUGACCAAUACUAUGGAGGAUGAUACUGGGGAGAGUGAGGCGAGGCUGGUGGUUGUAGAGUCUGAUGGGUGUUGUGGUCGAAAGAUGGUGCUAUAUAGAUCUAUAUGUGGCGGCUUAGUGGGGUUGUGAAAGUGGUGGUAGUGGAGAAUUUAGAACUUAUCUGUAAUAUUUUGAAAGAUCCAGGACUAUGAUUACAAUUAGUUAUUUAUUUUUCUUUUCUUUUCUUUUUGUUUUAUUUGAAUAGGAGGGUAAAAUCAUUAUUUUAUUGGAAAAAAAGGAUAAAAAUGACUUUUUUAGCAAUGAAAUGUGAAAGAUAAGGGUGAAAAUCUCAAAAAAUAAAAGAUAUGGAUGUUUUGCACAAUAACAUUGAAAGGUAUGACAUUUUUUACAGCCCAAGAACAAUUAACCAAG
rnacentral:lncRNA from 1 species